CAGCAGUAGGGAUCUUCCGCAAUGGACGAAAGUCUGACGGAGCAACGCCGCGUGAGUGAUGAAGGCUUUCGGGUCGUAAAACUCUGUUGUUAGGGAAGAACAAGUGCUAGUUGAAUAAGCUGGCACCUUGACGGUACCUAACCAGAAAGCCACGGCUAACUACGUGCCAGCAGCCGCGGUAAUACGUAGGUGGCAAGCGUUAUCCGGAAUUAUUGGGCGUAAAGCGCGCGCAGGUGGUUUCUUAAGUCUGAUGUGAAAGCCCACGGCUCAACCGUGGAGGGUCAUUGGAAACUGGGAGACUUGAGUGCAGAAGAGGAAAGUGGAAUUCCAUGUGUAGCGGUGAAAUGCGUAGAGAUAUGGAGGAACACCAGUGGCGAAGGCGACUUUCUGGUCUGUAACUGACACUGAGGCGCGAAAGCGUGGGGAGCAAACAGGAUUAGAUACCCUGGUAGUCCACGCCGUAAACGAUGAGUGCUAAGUGUUAGAGGGUUUCCGCCCUUUAGUGCUGAAGUUAACGCAUUAAGCACUCCGCCUGGGGAGUACGGCCGCAAGGCUGAAACUCAAAGGAAUUGACGGGGCCCCC
rnacentral:rRNA from 2 species